AUUGAACGCUGGCGGCAUGCUUUACACAUGCAAGUCGAACGGCAGCGCGGGCUUCGGCCUGGCGGCGAGUGGCGAACGGGUGAGUAAUGCAUCGGAACGUGCCCAGUAGUGGGGGAUAGCCCGGCGAAAGCCGGAUUAAUACCGCAUACGACCUGAGGGUGAAAGCGGGGGACCGAAAGGCCUCGCGCUAUUGGAGCGGCCGAUGUCGGAUUAGCUAGUUGGUGGGGUAAAGGCUUACCAAGGCGACGAUCCGUAGCUGGUCUGAGAGGACGACCAGCCACACUGGGACUGAGACACGGCCCAGACUCCUACGGGAGGCAGCAGGGGGGAAUUUUGGACAAUGGGGGCAACCCUGAUCCAGCCAUGCCGCGGGCGGGAAGAAGGCCUUCGGGUUGUAAACCGCUUUUGUUCGGGAAGAAAUCCUCUGGGCUAAUACCCCGGGGGGAUGACGGUACCGGAAGAAUAAGCACCGGCUAACUACGUG
rnacentral:rRNA from 1 species